CAAAGCCUGCCAUCUCUUCUCUCUUAGCCAUUUCUCAUCCGCUGUCUUAGCAUGAGAGGGGGUGACUAUCACGAGGAAAGCGACGAAGGCUGGCCCUAAUAUGUGACGUAAAACAUCCCACCGGUGGGAUGAAAGCAGUAGACCGGUUCCGCCCCCGUCCUGGUGGUCAGGUCCGCUGGAUAAACAGAUUCACCAACGCUUACAGAAAGUGGCUCCUCUGCCUGUUUGUCGUCCUGCUUGGGGACAUCCAGGCGGUCUAUGAAGCUCUGCAGCUCUUUCCUGAAGGCUUUCAUCUGUGCGUUGAUACGAUACAGCAGCUCGUGCUCUCUGAUCCUGAGGAAGAACAAGUUUGGACUUUCAAAAUCAGCAAACAGCUCCCCAUUGGUGACAUAUACUCGGGCCUCAGAAAUGAUAGUGCUGGUGUCAGUGAUGAGCCUGUCAAUGGUCCGACCCAGCCUCU